rnacentral:rRNA from 1 species
AGCGAACGCUGGCGGCAGGCUUAACACAUGCAAGUCGAGCGGGCCCUUCGGGGUCAGCGGCGGACGGGUGAGUAACGCGUGGGAACGUGCCUUCUGGUUCGGAAUAACCCUGGGAAACUAGGGCUAAUACCGGAUACGCCCUUUUGGGGAAAGGUUUACUGCCGGAAGAUCGGCCCGCGUCUGAUUAGCUAGUUGGUGGGGUAACGGCCUACCAAGGCGACGAUCAGUAGCUGGUCUGAGAGGAUGAUCAGCCACACUGGGACUGAGACACGGCCCAGACUCCUACGGGAGGCAGCAGUGGGGAAUAUUGGACAAUGAGCGCAAGCCUGAUCCAGCCAUGCCGCGUGAGUGAUGAAGGCCUUAGGGUUGUAAAGCUCUUUUAUCCGGGACGAUAAUGACGGUACCGGAGGAAUAAGCCCCGGCUAACUUCGUGCCAGCCGCCGCAGUAA